CCUGUCCGGCCGCGUGAUGGGAUCCUUCAGCCAAACGGAGGCAAGUAGAGGAAGCCGGUGCGAGUCCGGCGCGGUCCCGCCACUGUCACCGGGGAGCACUCUCGACAUAUGGUCACGACGGCCCGCUGCGGCGGCUGUUGGAAGGCCCGAGGGUGUGUCGGACCCGGAAGCCAGGAGACUCUCACCCCCGGUACGUCGAUC
rnacentral:ncRNA from 14 species